rnacentral:rRNA from 1 species
AGAGUUUGAUCCUGGCUCAGGACGAACGCUGGCGGCGCGCCUAACACAUGCAAGUCGAACGAGCGAGAGAGAGCUUGCUUUCUCGAGCGAGUGGCGAACGGGUGAGUAACGCGUGAGGAACCUGCCUCAAAGAGGGGGACAACAGUUGGAAACGACUGCUAAUACCGCAUAAGCCCACAGGUCGGCAUCGACCAGAGGGAAAAGGAGCAAUCCGCUUUGAGAUGGCCUCGCGUCCGAUUAGCUAGUUGGUGAGGUAAUGGCCCACCAAGGCGACGAUCGGUAGCCGGACUGAGAGGUUGAACGGCCACAUUGGGACUGAGACACGGCCCAGACUCCUACGGGAGGCAGCAGUGGGGAAUAUUGCACAAUGGGGGAAACCCUGAUGCAGCGACGCCGCGUGGAGGAAGAAGGUCUUCGGAUUGUAAACUCCUGUUGUUGGGGAAGAUAAUGACGGUACUCAACAAGGAAGUGACGGCUAACUACGUGCCAGCAGCCGCGGUAAAACGUAGGUCACAAGCGUUGUCCGGAAUUACUGGGUGCAAAGGGAGCGCAGGCGGGAAGACAAGUUGGAAGUGAAAUCUAUGGGCUCAACCCAUAAACUGCUUUCAAAACUGUNUUUCUUGAGUAGUGCAGAGGUAGGCGGAAUUCCCGGUGUAGCGGUGGAAUGCGUAGAUAUCGGGAGGAACACCAGUGGCGAAGGCGGCCUACUGGGCACCAACUGACGCUGAGGCUCGAAAGUGUGGGUAGCAACAGGAUUAGAUACCCUGGUAGUCCACACCGUAAACGAUGAUUACUAGGUGUUGGAGGAUUGACCCCUUCAGUGCCGCAGUUAACACAAUAAGUAAUCCACCUGGGGAGUACGACCGCAAGGUUGAAACUCAAAGGAAUUGACGGGGGCCCGCACAAGCAGUGGAGUAUGUGGUUUAAUUCGACGCAACGCGAAGAACCUUACCAAGUCUUGACAUCCUGCGACGGUCAUAGAAAUAUGUCUUUCCUUCGGGACGCAGAGACAGGUGGUGCAUGGUUGUCGUCAGCUCGUGUCGUGAGAUGUUGGGUUAAGUCCCGCAACGAGCGCAACCCUUACUGUCAGUUACUACGCAAGAGGACUCUGGCAGGACUGCCGUUGACAAAACGGAGGAAGGUGGGGAUGACGUCAAAUCAUCAUGCCCUUUAUGACUUGGGCUACACACGUACUACAAUGGCGUUAAACAAAGAGAAGCAAGACCGCGAGGUGGAGCAAAACUCAGAAACAACGUCCCAGUUCGGACUGCAGGCUGCAACUCGCCUGCACGAAGUCGGAAUUGCUAGUAAUCGUGGAUCAGCAUGCCACGGUGAAUACGUUCCCGGCGCCUUGUACACACCGCCCGUC